rnacentral:rRNA from 1 species
CCCUUAGAUGUUCUGGGCCGCACGCGCGCUACACUGAUGCAUUCAACAAGCCUAGCCUUGACCGAGAGGUCCGGGUAAUCUUUGAAACUGCAUCGUGAUGGGGCUAGAUUAUUGCAAUUAUUAAUCUUCAACGAGGAAUGCCUAGUAAGCGUGAUUCAUCAAAUCGCGUUGAUUACGUCCCUGCCCUUUGUACACACCGCCCGUCGCUCCUACCGAUUGAAUGUGUUGGUGAGGAGCUCGGAUCGGCAGCAGUUGGUGGUUCGCCACCGGCUAUCGCUGAGAAGUCCUCCAAACCGCCCCAUUUAGAGGAAGGAGAAGUCGUAACA